GAUGAACGCUGGCGGCGUGCCUAAUACAUGCAAGUCGAACGGGGAGUAGCAAUACUCUUAGUGGCGAACGGGUGAGUAACGCGUUGGUACCUGCCCCGAAGCGGGGGAUAACGGACCGAAAGGUCCGCUAAUACCCCAUGUGCUCGGUAACGAGUAAAGGUGAAAACCACUUUGGGAGGGGCCUGCGUCCCAUCAGCUAGUUGGUAAGGUAACGGCUUACCAAGGCGAUGACGGGUAGGGGACCUGAGAGGGUGGCCCCCCACAAUGGAACUGAAACACGGUCCAUACACCUACGGGUGGCAGCAGUAGGGAAUAUUGGUAAUGGGCGCAAGCCUGAACCAGCAACGCCGCGUGGGCGAUGACGGCCUUCGGGUUGUAAAGCACUUUUGACUGGGACGAGGAAGGACGGUACCGGUCGAAUCAGCCCCGGCUAACUACGUG
rnacentral:rRNA from 1 species